GGGGAUAUGACUCAGUUUGUAGAGUACUUGCCUAGCAUGCACAAGUUCCUGGGUUCAAUCCCCAGUACCACCA
rnacentral:tRNA from 1 species